AUUUAAACCAUCACCUGCAGUUCCUUGCUACAUGGUAGAUGUGGUGCUAGAUUAUCAUGAAGGAAUGCUUCCCAUUUGGAUCUUUCCAUCCUACCUGCAAAUAGUUCUUCAAAGGCCUCCUGUAUCAUGUUGUUUUCAAUAACAGAAUACAAAAUUGUUCCGUUUCAAGGGGUUCCAUUUUCUUCCGUAUCAUCCAAAGCUGAGGAACGCAAAAUGGCUUCCAACUUCAGACUGGAGGUGGUUCCUGCUGUGCUGAAGCCUUCUGUAGCAAAGAAUUCCACAGAUUCACCACCCUCUGACUA